AUUGAACGCUGGCGGCAGGCCUAACACAUGCAAGCCGAGCGAGAGGCGGACGGGUGAGUAAUGGAGGGGGAUCUGCCCGAUAGAGGGGGAUAACUACUGGAAACGGUGGCUACUACCGCAUACUAUCGGAUGAACCCAUAUGGGAUUAUCUAGUAGGUGGGGGAAAGGCUCACCUAGGGGACGAUCUCUAGCUGGGCUGAGAGGAUGAUCAGCCACACUGGGACUGAGACACGGCCCAGACUCCUACGGGAGGCAGCAGUGGGGAAUAUUGCACAAUGGGGGAAAGCCGGAUCCAGCCAUGCCGAGUGUAUGAAGAAGGCAUUAGGGUUGUAAAGUACUGUCAGCGGGGAGGCGUUACCCGCAGAAGAAGCACCGGCUAACUCCGUGCCAGCAGCCGCGGUAAUAC
rnacentral:rRNA from 1 species